rnacentral:rRNA from 1 species
CCUGACUGCUAUCGGAUUGAUACUAAGCCAUGCGAGUCAUUGUAGUAAUACAAGGCAGACGGCUCAGUAACGCGUAGUCAACCUACCCUAUGGACGGGAAUAACCUCGGGAAACUGAGUAUAAUGCCCGAUAGAACACUAUACCUGGAAUGGUUUGUGUUCCAAAUGAAUGUCGCCGUAGGAUGGGACUGCGGCCUAUCAGUUUGUUGGUGAGGUAAUGGCCCACCAAGACUAUUACAGGUACGGGCUCUGAGAGGAGUAGCCCGGAGAUGGGUACUGAGACACGGACCCAGGCCCUAUGGGGCGCAGCAGGCGAGAAAACUUUGCAAUGUGCGAAAGCACGACAAGGUUAAUCCGAGUGGUUUGUGCUAAACGAACCUUUUGACAGUCCUAGAAACACUGUUGAAUAAGGGGUGGGCAAGUUCUGGUGUCAGCCGCCGCGGUAAAACCAGCACCUCAAGUGGUCAGGAUGAUUAUUGGGCCUAAAGCAUCCGUAGCCGGCUCUGUAAGUUUUCGGUUAAAUCUGUACGCUCAACGUACAGGCUGCCGGGAAUACUGCAGAGCUAGGGAGUGGGAGAGGUAGACGGUACUCGGUAGGAAGGGGUAAAAUCCUUUGAUCUAUUGUUGACCACCUGUGGCGAAGGCGGUCUACCAGAACACGUCCGACGGUGAGGGAUGAAAGCUGGGGGAGCAAACCGGAUUAGAUACCCGGGUAGUCCCAGCUGUAACUAUGCAAACUCAGUGAUGCAU